AUGAAGCGAACGUUGGACGCCGCGGAGCCGAGCCCGGUGUUCCUCUCCCGCGAAAAACGCCAGCGCCUCGCCCUCGAGCGCCGCCAGGCCGCCGUCGCCGACCAGCGUCGCUCCGAGCUCCCCACUCCGCCGCCUCCCCCUCACGAUCCCCCCUUUUCGUGCCGACAUUACCCGGACCGGCACCGUGACCGCCGCGGCAGAGAUCAGGACAGGGACGGCAGGGAGAAAGAUCGGGCGGAGAGGGCGCGGGAGAAGGAGCUCGAGGCGAUCAGGGAGCAGUACCUCGGGGGGUCCAAGGACAAGAAGCCCAAGACGGUCGCCAAGCCGCGGGACAGGUUCCGCUUCGACUGGGCGAGCACGGACGACACCAGCCGCGUCGACGCCGUCAACAACCAGCCUCCGCACGGCGCCCUGCUGCUCUACGGCCGCGGCUUCCUCGCCGGCAUCGACCGGCGCGAGCAGAAGAAGGCCGCAGCGGCCGCGCUCCACAAGGACGCCGCGGCGACGUACGACGCCCUGGACAUGCGCGUGGACAGGCACUGGACGGACAAGCGCGCCGAGGAGAUGACGGAGCGCGACUGGCGGAUCCUCCGCGAGGACUUCGGCAUCUCCUACAGGGGCUCCCGCGUGCCACGGCCCAUGCGGAGCUGGGCGGAGAGCGGGCUCGGCGCCGAGCUGCUCCGCAACGUCGACAGGGCCGGGUACAGAAAGCCCACGCCGAUCCAGAUGGCCGCCGUGCCGCUCGGCCUCCAGCGUCGCGAUGUCAUCGGCGUUGCUCAGACUGGCUCAGGCAAGACCGCUGCCUUCGUGCUCCCCAUGCUGGCAUACAUCGCCCGCAUGCCGCUGCCGACCAGCCACAGCGAGGCGGACGAGGGCCCGUACGCGCUUGUCCUGGCGCCGACCCGGGAGCUCGCGCAGCAGAUCGAGAGGGAGACGGUGAAGCUUGCGGCGUGCCUAGGCAUCAGGGUGGUGUCCAUUGUCGGUGGCAAGUCGGACGGCCAGUCGACCAUCCAGAAGCAGGCCAGCAUGCUCGAGCGGGGGUGCGAGGUCAUCGUCGCGACGCCCGGCCGGCUCCUCGACUGCCUGGAGAGCAGGUACGCCGUGCUCAACCGGUGUAGCUACGUCGUGCUCGACGAGGCCGACAGGAUGAUCGACAUGGGCUUCGAGCCCCAGGUUGUCGGUGUGCUCGACGCAAUGCCGUCGAGCCACCUGAAGCCAGAGAACGCGGACGAGGAACUGGAUGAGGCGAGGACUUACAGGACGACCCACAUGUUUAGCGCCACCAUGCCGCCGGCCGUGGAGCGGCUCGCCAGGAAGUACCUCCGGAACCCGGUGGUCGUCACGGUCGGCUCUGCCGGCAAGGCCGCGGACCUCGUCACCCAGAACGUGGUCAUGGUGAAGGUCCAAGAAAAGAUGCCACGGCUCAAGAGGAUACUCGCCGACCUCGGGAAGGACAGGACGGCCAUUGUGUUCUGCAACACCAAGAAUUCCGUGGAGAAGCUCACCCAUGACGUGGAAAACGCAGGGUUGUGCCGGGUCACGGCGCUGCACGGAGGGAAGUCGCAGGACGAGAGGAUGGCCAGCCUCGACGGGUUCAGGAAGGGCAGGUUCAACGUCCUCGUGGCCACUGACCUUGCCGCCCGCGGCAUCGAUGUCCCGGAGGUCGCCCAUGUGAUCAACUACGAGAUGCCUAGCUCGAUCGAUCUGUACACGCAUCGUAUCGGGAGAACCGGGCGUGCAGGAAAGAAGGGGCUCUCGACAUCGUUUUUGACUCUGGAGGACACUGACAUUUUCUUCGAUCUUAGGCAGAUGCUUGUGCAGAGCAAUAGUCCCGUGCCGCCGGAGCUUGCCAGGCAUGAGACGUCCAAGUUCAAGCCAGGGUCUCUUCCUGGUAGACCUCCGAGAAGAAAUGGCACCGUCCAUGCAUACCACUGA
rnacentral:rRNA from 1 species